CUGCAUUAUGAAUGAUAAGAGUGGAACUGAAUGAACUCUGAUAGUAGAGCAACAUCUGAGUAACAGGAGUAACUUCCAAAUGCAAGGUCAUCGGCAAUGACGUUAAACGUCCACGUAUCAGACAUUUCUUAUCCUGAGAAUUCUGGUUAGUGCUGUCAAAUGAUUAAUCGCAUCCAAAAUACAAAAAAGCACAGCGCAGUCGUACAAAAUAAUAUCAUCUUUUAUUUCCAUCAAUUUACAAGUACCUCUGUUAAAUCCCCUUACCAGUGUCAGAUUGAAGCUGCUGGGCCAGAAACUGAUGGGGAAGAAUCAAAGAACUCAGAUAACCAGUUACCAUUACUAGCUGUACACUCUUGGAUAAACUGGUAAAUUUGCUUUAGUCUUCCUUGAGAGGCUGGGAUCUGACUCUCAAGGCCAAUUUAACUCAAAGAAGGUUAUGUUUUCUUGUAGGAAGUUACAUACAGAUUACAGAUUAGAGGGAAUAUGUGACAAAUUAGACAACCCAUAAGUGAAUAUUAAUUUCCUCUAAAACUUAUGGAGCUCUCAGUGGCUUUGCUUUGGAUGACUUUACCACCGAUACAUCUGCCCUGGAAGAACACAACAGACGGGAUGAUUUGAGUACACAAAUCAACAGAAUACACUAUGAAAAUCAACUCCAUCAAUUAAAAAAAUCAUAUACAAGAAAAAAAAAAGACAAA